rnacentral:rRNA from 1 species
CGUGCAGGCGGCCAGGUAGGUCAGCUGUGAAAACUCGAGGCUCAACCUCGAGCUGUCGGCUGAAACCAUCUGGCUAGAGUCCGGAAGAGGAGAGUGGAAUUCCUGGUGUAGCGGUGAAAUGCGCAGAUAUCAGGAAGAACACCCGUGGCGAAGGCGGCUCUCUGGGACGGUACUGACGCUGAGACGCGAAAGCGUGGGAGCGAACA